ACAUGCAGUCGAGCGGACAGAAGGGAGCUUGCUCCCGGAUGUUAGCGGCGGACGGGUGAGUAACACGUGGGUAACCUGCCUGUAAGACUGGGAUAACUCCGGGAAACCGGAGCUAAUACCGGAUAGUUCCUUGAACCGCAUGGUUCAAGGAUGAAAGACGGUUUCGGCUGUCACUUACAGAUGGACCCGCGGCGCAUUAGCUAGUUGGUGGGGUAAUGGCUCACCAAGGCGACGAUGCGUAGCCGACCUGAGAGGGUGAUCGGCCACACUGGGACUGAGACACGGCCCAGACUCCUACGGGAGGCAGCAGUAGGGAAUCUUCCGCAAUGGACGAAAGUCUGACGGAGCAACGCCGCGUGAGUGAUGAAGGUUUUCGGAUCGUAAAGCUCUGUUGUUAGGGAAGAACAAGUGCGAGAGUAACUGCUCGCACCUUGACGGUACCUAACCAGAAAGCCACGGCUAACUACGUGCCAGCAGCCGCGGUAAUACGUAGGUGGCAAGCGUUGUCCGGAAUUAUUGGGCGUAAAGGGCUCGCAGGCGGUUUCUUAAGUCUGAUGUGAAAGCCCCCGGCUCAACCGGGGAGGGUCAUUGGAAACUGGGAAACUUGAGUGCAGAAGAGGAGAGUGGAAUUCCACGUGUAGCGGUGAAAUGCGUAGAGAUGUGGAGGAACACCAGUGGCGAAGGCGACUCUCUGGUCUGUAACUGACGCUGAGGAGCGAAAGCGUGGGGAGCGAACAGGAUUAGAUACCCUGGUAGUCCACGCCGUAAACGAUGAGUGCUAAGUGUUAGGGGGUUUCCGCCCCUUAGUGCUGCAGCUAACGCAUUAAGCACUCCGCCUGGGGAGUACGGUCGCAAGACUGAAACUCAAAGGAAUUGACGGGGGCCCGCACAAGCGGUGGAGCAUGUGGUUUAAUUCGAAGCAACGCGAAGAACCUUACCAGGUCUUGACAUCCUCUGACAACCCUAGAGAUAGGGCUUUCCCUUCGGGGACAGAGUGACAGGUGGUGCAUGGUUGUCGUCAGCUCGUGUCGUGAGAUGUUGGGUUAAGUCCCGCAACGAGCGCAACCCUUGAUCUUAGUUGCCAGCAUUUAGUUGGGCACUCUAAGGUGACUGCCGGUGACAACCGGAGGAAGGUGGGGAUGACGUCAAUCAUCUGCCCCUUAUGACUGGGCUACCGUGCUACAUGGA
rnacentral:rRNA from 1 species